GGGGGAUGUUCAUCAGUCAAAAUCCAGCGGCAAAUCACAAUUGACCUACCAAGAGUUUCACAUUUUUGCUAUGUGGGGAGCUGUUACCCAGAAAAAAUAAUGCUCAAAGCUAUACAGAUUGUGGGUUCAUCUUCUGGGUUUGCUUCCUAUAGAUUUAGAAAGCCUCAACCCAAUUCUGCCUUCUCCUUAAUUUCGAGAAAACCCAUUCUCACAACAUCUGAAACUUUGUUAUUGCCGGCUUCUCAACUACAUAGUCACAAGUCCUGUUUUAGAGAUUUUCGAAUGUCUUCAACUCAUUCAAAGUCAUCCUCUUCUUCAUCUGUUGCAGUCCAGUCAACUGGAAACAUUCGCAAGAUCAACUUCUGCCAGUUUUGCGGGGGCCCAAAUAAGCAUGAGAUACCUGAUGGUGAAGAAAAGGUGAGAGCUAUCUGCACUCAUUGUGGGAAGAUUACAUAUGAGAAUCCAAAAAUGGUUGUUGGUUGCCUUAUUGAGCAUGAUAAGAAGAUAUUAAUGUGCAGGCGCAAAAUUCACCCAUCAUAUGGACUUUGGACGCUCCCAGCUGGCUAUAUGGAGAUUGGUGAAUCUGCUGCUGAGGGAGCAAUUAGGGAAACCUGGGAAGAGGCAAAUGCAGAAGUAGAGGUUCAAUCACUUUUUGCUCAAUUGGACAUCCCUCUUAUAGGACAAACGUACAUGAUUUUUUUGGCAAAACUGAAAAAUCCCCACUUUUCACCUGGUCCAGAAUCAUCA
rnacentral:misc_RNA from 1 species